UGUGUGUGUGUGUGUGUCAGAGUAGAAGAGGUAGGAGUCAAGAAGAGACUCAUGGAACACAGAGCCUUCCUUAAGACAGUGAGUGAAUGUAAACUGCCCUUUAUUGUUAUUGGCUAGACAGCAAAAGGACAGAGUUGGUUAUGGGAAGGUGGGAACCUCUCAGUCAACAUCUCUGUAGGAAACAGAUGACAUACUCAGACUGGGUCAUUUGAGGAGAACUUAAUAAAAAGGCUAUUAUAAAGAUAUGGGCAGGGUUUAAAGACAAUUAAUUAGUGGAGGUCCACUACAACAGGCCAUGCCUAGGCCCAAAAAGACAGAGAAAGGAAGAAGUGCUCAAAGCACAGAGAAAGGUGCUCAGUGGAGAGGGUGGCCCCAGUAGCCUAGUAAGAUUUAUAGUAGAUGCCUCUCUGUUAGCCAAUCCCAACCAGAAGCAAUAAAGCCAGGCACCCAAUUAAGGUAGACCAUGCAGGAUGCCAGCUUUCUUCUCAGACCCCUUCUCAACCUGAGUAUAAAGCAGAGUAAAAAGUAGCACAGGGAAAAAUGAAACCAAAGGAACAGAGACUAAAUUGGGCUGGAGAAAAUAAAGCCUUAAUUUUUCAAUCACCAUAUUCAUUUGCUCUCCCAAAAGUCUAAUAAAUAUCAGGAAAAUGCUCAGCAAUGUUGGAAGACCACUGUAGCUACAUAAACAUGCUUGGUGAAGUAGGGAAGUGAAAGAAGGAUGAAAAAGUCAGCCAGUAGGUCAAGAAAUGGAGAAGUGCAUGCAUUAAACAUAUUUCAAAAUAGUAAAAAGUGAGUAGAGGUGGAGAAAGACCCAAGUUUACAAAUCUGUUGAACUUGAAUGCCUAGCCAGGUUUUCAGAGACAAGCUAUAGAACACAGUAAAUACUAUUUUAAUGGGCACAGACUCAAACUUAAUGAAAGUAACUGGCUUCACAAUGCAAGAGAACUAUUUUCCAAUUUCAUAUCUCAUUCUCAUGCAGAACUCUCUGCUUGAUUCAGGCAAAACGUGCAUAAGCAUUCUCUAUGUGCUUUCUCUUUCAAUGGCUGCAAAAGAGAUAUGUGAUCCUAAUGGAAUAAUCUUCAUUCCAAAGCACUGGAUGGACUGUAGUUUUAUCCCUUUGGAUUGUCUGCCUCUCCUCCCAUUUACCUGUGAUAAACCUGUCACCAUCCACAAAUGGCUACUCUUUGAAAACUAUUUCUUCCACCAUCAGCUCUAGAAAUAACAAAUUUCCUACAUCAGGAAACACUUACUCUGUCUUGAUUAAGCUCCUUCCAGGGACCUUCAAGAUCUUGGAGUCCAGUCUUUCCAAAAGUGUUUGCUAAAGUCCUCUCAGGAACAAAAUGUGAAAAAGGACUCCAUGGGCAGACAAAUGGAAGAAAUGAGGUUUCCCUUAAUGAUAACCUUUUGAGAGUUCUUAAUAUCAAAUAUGCAUAUUGAAUGCAUUGGAGAAAAACAUGGGUUGCAGAGAUUUUAAAAUUUAUGUGGCAGAAAAAUCCCUUUUGCCACAGCACCUGGUAGGACAGGUGUUCAUUGUUGAACAAACCUUGGAAUCUCAAUUACAAGAAAAGAAACUGAGGAAGAAGAAGGAAACGUCUUUCUCAUGGCUCCGUGGCUAAAUGCAGCUUUCUCCUGGUUCUGGUAAAACUGUGAUUUAAGAUUGACCUUGUACAUUUGACUUAUAUUUGGGUGGUUGUAGACACAAAUAGUCUCACCUGCAUUUCAUCACAUGGGAGGACCCUCACUAUUUUAUUACCUCCUAACAUGGCAUCUGAUCUGACUAUCACCAUUUCCCUCCCUAUUUUAACUGCACUUCUUAGAACCAUUGCCAAUCCUGAGUUAUCUAUCUUGGAGAGGAAGGCCAGGAACAGCAUGUACACUCCACAUGGGAACACAGGAUGGCUUUCUAUGUAUUUCCAGUCUGGUGUGCCGUAUAUUUCCCAGGACCAUAGCUUCUCACUGGCUUCUGGCCUGCAAUCCCAGAGCCCACUGUGUUUCCUUAGGCUGUACUGAUAGCUCAGAGCAUAGCAUCUUCUAAGGGAAAGGCUUAUGCUUCCUUUCUUCUCCCUGGCUUAUGCUGGAGACCAUCUUAUCCUGCUUCGCAUCUCCCACAGUGUCCUCUGACUCCUCAAUGAUGAUGAGUUUUUAAAAGUCUUGUGCUUGCUUUGCUGAGUUAAUGUUCUCGAAGUUUCUUCCCUGAUUAUCCUAUGCUGACCUCAAAGAAAACCCAUUUGUCAUAUUUCUGCAGCCUUUGUAAGAUUUUCUUGAUGUUUACACUUGACAGAUAACUUUAGAAUGACUCUAAUUUUACAGUUACUCUCUUUAAAUUACUUAAAGUUAUUUCACAUGAACUGUUUUGUUGGGCCUUGUACAACUUCUCAAGAUGUGACAGAGAUUUAUGUCCAAUUAGAAGAUUGCUUUUAAGACAAAUAGCUUAUGUACACUAGCAAAGAUGCUGGCAACGAAAAGAAUCAUUUUGGACAAACAGGUUUGUGCUUUCAGAUGCAGACAUAUUGAGUUCUGUUCAAUGUCAAGGCUGACUGCAGAGUCCAGCUGCUCCUUACACUACAGAGCAAGGACAGGACAUUCUUGGCAGGAAUCCUUGUCCUCAUGGGCAAAUUGCCUUUAGACCUCCCAGUACCUGGCACAGUUCUGGGCUCACAGUAGAUGCUCAAUAAACAUGUUGAGGGGAACAUGGGAUUGAAUAAAGGAGUGAACAUGUGAACAAAGAAAUAAUUUGGAAAAUAAAUAUCAAAACAUAGUGUUGUUCUCAGCUCUUUAAAAAUACCUUUUUUUAGUUCUGUUUGCUCCUUUUCCCAUUCUUUGGGAUCCAGACCUUCUGACACAUGUCCUCUACUUCAAGGACACUCCUCCAAUAGCAAAUACAGCAGGAGUAAUCUAGCAAGCCAUGUCUUUUGAAUAAUGGAAAUUAAAAUGCCCUACAUCUCUUUUGAUUCAAGAAAAAUUAGUGCUAUCUAAACAGUAAUGGCAAACUCUGCAAAAAUGCCUUCAAGAAGCAAAUUUUCUAUAGAGUACCUUAAAAAACAUCCAGUAUAAAUGCUGGUCAAAAGAACUCAAUCUUCCAGGCUUCAUAUUUAACAUUUGGACUCUAUUUUACUCCCUAAAAAAGCUUUUUUAAAAGCUUUAAAAAAAAAGAUAGUGGAAUACUGUUUUCCAAUUCAUGGAACAAUUGUUACUAUUCUGUAUCUAUUUCUAUGAAGAUAUUGUUACAGGGCUGUGCUCACAAUAAAACCUUCAUCCUAAAUCUCUGUGCACCUUAUGAAUUUCACUCCAUCUUGGUGUUUUUUUUCCCCAAAGAAGUCACUCAGGUUCCUUUCAUAAUGCCAGUAAAUAGUGCUAGCCUUCCACAGCUGUAGAGGUUUAUGUCCUGAGAGAUUUUCAAUGUUACAACUCAUGCUUCCAAUCAAAACAGUGCCAGAGUUGACAUGAUUUACCAGGAAGAAGGACUUGAUUAGGGACCAGCACACUACCAAACAAGUAUUAAAUGACUACAAGGAGUUUUUAAUAUGCAAUACUCUCUCUGUUCACAACAACAACAAAAAAAGCCAGAAACAAUUUCCUGUGCUACAGUUAAGAGAAAUAGAAACUUAUUUUUAAGGUUCUUUUAGUGUGUUGUAGACAUUUCAGAGGCAGCUUUCACCUAAGAGAAGUGCUGGCUCCUUAAAUAACUCCAUCCUUUCAGCUCAAAUGGAAAACAGCUGUAUUUCUAGACUGUAAUAACAACAGGUAUCCAGGAGGUCGAGGCUGGGCUGAAGGACACCUUGCUGUGAAAUGCUUCAAGUUUCUUUCUCUAGGUUACAAGUUUGGUCUGCAGUGAAUUGUCAGUGACAACCUGUGGCUUGGAAUUUAAUUCCUUGAUGCAUUCAUAACAUUGUUAUUUCUUCCUCUCUAGAGGUAUAAUAAGCACAUGCUAUCCUAUAAAUUAGAGGCUGAAAUGCACACUGAUUUGAGAGUAAAGGAUGCUGGGAAGAUAAAUCUAGGGGUUUUCCACUGAGAAAAGGUUUUAAACUUUUUUAAAAAAACAAUGAUUUAACUUGUCAUUGAGGUAAUUUGAGAGGCUCCCAUCCUCCACUCAAUACCCACAAAUUUCC